rnacentral:other from 1 species
AAGUACCGGAUGUCAACUUAAGGUCUUCUGUUUUUUGAGCCUACAUUACUUUAAACGGGAUUCCUAAAUUGCUCGGCCGAUGUCAUGCCCCGGCAAGUAUUUCAGGGAAGGCAGACGUUGAUGCUGCGGUUGCCCACCUAGACAUGUCUAGGAGUCAAAGAGGGAGACUGGACAUUCGGUUUUUG